rnacentral:rRNA from 1 species
ACGCUGGCGGCAGGCUUAACACAUGCAAGUCGAGCGCCCCGCAAGGGGAGCGGCAGACGGGUGAGUAACGCGUGGGAAUCUACCCAUCUCUACGGAACAACUCCGGGAAACUGGAGCUAAUACCGUAUACGUCCUUUUGGAGAAAGAUUUAUCGGAGAUGGAUGAGCCCGCGUUGGAUUAGCUAGUUGGUGGGGUAAUGGCCUACCAAGGCGACGAUCCAUAGCUGGUCUGAGAGGAUGAUCAGCCACAUUGGGACUGAGACACGGCCCAAACUCCUACGGGAGGCAGCAGUGGGGAAUAUUGGACAAUGGGCGAAAGCCUGAUCCAGCCAUGCCGCGUGAGUGAUGAAGGCCCUAGGGUUGUAAAGCUCUUUCAACGGUGAAGAUAAUGACGGUAACCGUAGAAGAAGCCCCGGCUAACUUCGUGCCAGCAGCCGCGGUAAUACGAAGGGGGCUAGCGUUGUUCGGAAUUACUGGGCGUAAAGCGCACGUAGGCGGAUAUUUAAGUCAGGGGUGAAAUCCCGGGGCUCAACCCCGGAACUGCCUUUGAUACUGGGUAUCUCGAGUCCGAGAGAGGUGAGUGGAAUUCCGAGUNUAGAGGUGAAAUUCNUAGAUAUUCGGAGGAAC